CCUACGGGAGGCAGCAGUGAGGAAUAUUGGUCAAUGGGCGCGAGCCUGAACCAGCCAAGUAGCGUGAAGGAUGACUGCCCUACGGGUUGUAAACUUCUUUUAUAAAGGAAUAAAGUGAGGCGCGUGUGCCUUUUUGUAUGUACUUUAUGAAUAAGGAUCGGCUAACUCCGUGCCAGCAGCCGCGGUAAUACGGAGGAGCCGAGCGUUAUCCGGAUUUAUUGGGUUUAAAGGGAGCGUAGAUGGGUUGUUAAGUCAGUUGUGAAAGUUUGGGGCUCAACCGUAAAAUUGCAAUUGAUACUGGCAGCCUUGAGUACAGUUGAGGUAGGCGGAAUUCGUGGUGUAGCGGUGAAAUGCUUAGAGAUAACGAAGAACUCCGAUUGCGAAGGCAGCUUACUAAACAGCAACUGACAUUGAUGCUCGAAAGUGUGGGUAUCAAACAGGAUUAGAUACCCUUGUAGUC
rnacentral:rRNA from 1 species